GUUUACAUGACUAAAUAAAUCUGUUUACACUGCAGAUGGACAGAUCGUUGCUGCGGUAACGGUAAUUGUCAGUAAACAAAUGUCUGAAACCAUUUACGGAAACGUAAAUACCGUUGCAUAUGAGCGAAAAAUAAACAAGAUUAGCAUAGCUGGAAGAAGCAUUUUCUAUACCAAAUAAUAUUUAUGAUUUUCUGCUUUUUUCUAGUAUAAAAAAAUCCUACCUCUUCAGAGAUCUGGUGACUGUUAUUUUUCACUAAAACAAACAAGUGAUGUCACGUUUAAAAGCCCGUGAAUGUGAC